AAACAUGUCUUUAAGUUUAUAAUUUAAAGUCAAAUCUGCUCCAUGAUUUUAUAUUAAAUAGCUGCAGAAUUUUAACUGUACAAAGGUAGCAUAAUCAAUAGUUUUUUAAUUAAAAGCUGGAAUGAAUGAUUUAAUAAGGUAAUUAUUGUCUCAAAUUUAUUAAAAUUAAAAUUUUUUUUUCAGUAAAAAUACUGAAAAGUUUUUAAAAGACGAGAAGACCCUAUAGAUUUUUAUACUUAAUAAUUAAUUUAAUUUUAAAUAAAUUAUAAAUAUUAAAAAUAAAAGUAUUUGGUUGGGGUAAUUAUUAAAUUUGAUUAAUUUUAAUAAGUUUUAAACUAGAAUUAAAGAAUUUUUGAUCUUAAAAUUUAAAUUAAAAGAAUAAAAUACCUUAGGGAUAACAGCGUUAUUUUUUUUGAGAGAUCUUAUUGAUAAAAAAGUUUGCGACCUCGAUGUUGAAUUAAGAUAAAAUUUUAAUGUAGAAGUUAAAAAGUUUUGGUCUGUUCGACCAUUAAAAUCUUACGUGAUCUGAG
rnacentral:rRNA from 1 species